rnacentral:lncRNA from 1 species
UUGUCUCCAUAUGCAGUCAACAAACCAGCUUUUGUUGACCUCUGAAGCAGCGCCCAUCUCCACUACCUCCUGUCGCCAGCAGCAGGGCCCCCGAAGCCAGUGAACUCGCCAGCAGACGCCACGCAACCCCCUUGCUUCUCUCGGCCAGCACAUCUCUCACGUCUGCUCAGUCUUCAGCCGCGCGGACUCCUUCAGCUUGCCCAUCUCCACGAAUCAGGACGCCGAAGCUGCUUCUUCUGCCUGUUCGUUGGCCCAGCGAAGCCCACGGAGUCUUGAUUUGAAGCCACGUGC